rnacentral:rRNA from 1 species
GGGCUCACACAAGCGGUGGAGCAUGUGGAUCAAUUCGAAGCAACGCGAAGAACCUUACCUAGGUUUGACAUGCACGGAUGCCGUCGGGGAAACUCGAGCCGGUUGCCUUCGGGUGAAACGUGCACAGGUGCUGCAUGGCUGUCGUCAGCUCGUGCUGUGAAGUGUCGGGUUAAGUCCCUUAACGAGCGAAACCCCUGUCGCUAGUUGCCAUCGGGUCAUGCCGGGAACUCUAGCGAGACUGCCGGCGUUAAGCCGGAGGAAGGCGGGGACGACGUCAAGUCAUCAUGGCCUUUAUGCCUAGGGUGUCACACGUGCUACAAUGGGGUGAACAGAGCGAAGCGAGACCGCGAGGUGGAGCAAAUCGCACAAAACACCCCCCAGUUCAGAUUGGGGUCUGCAAUUCGACCCCAUGAAGUCGGAAUCGCUAGUAAUCGCGCAUCAGCCAUGGCGCGGUGAAUGUGUUCCUGAGCCUU